ensembl:lncRNA novel transcript
UGACACGUUGGCUCUGCUCCUGCUCAUGCGCGGCCUGGGGCGCCCUUCUCUGACGCGAUUCUAACGCGACCCCGGAAGCGCGCAGCGAGCAGAGGACCCUGCAUUCAGAUGCAGCAGAUGACACCAC